UUCAUGUCAGAUACAUGAGGGAAGGAUCAACAAAAAGAGUGAAAUUUUGUGCCAUGCUAAGCAGUGCUGUGUAUAUCCCUUCCCUUUUUCAUGUCUGUUUGCCCAUCAUUAGGCUGUUCUUCUCUCAGGCACUGAAGAUGCCAUUGUCUCCUGUAGUGGUAAUAAGGAGAAAAGAACGAAAAAUUGCUGUUACAGGUAAAAAAAAAAGAGUCAAGACAUCCCAACUGGGGUGCUUACAUUCCUGCACUCUGAGAAAAGGAGAAUAUGCUACCAAAUACUGAGGUAAUUUCCUAAUCAGUAUGUAAAAAUCAAAUGCUCAAAAAACCUUACAAUUCUCUGUUACCUGGGGAGUCCCAUGAAAACACUUGGUUUAGUCACAGGCAGGACAUUUCAGCUCUGGGCACCUCAUCUCAGUGUGUAAAUGAAAGGUUAUGGUAAAAAUAAAUGAAAAUAUAAAGAGGCUAGGAAGGAUGAAGGAAUGGGUUGUGCUUGAGAAGAGAUUAAAGCUCCUAGCGUGGUUCAUGUUGGAAGGUGAAUUGGAAAGAAGGGAAGGCAAACAGUCUGACUUGUCAUAAACAGGGAACAAUUCGUCAUUGCACAAUAAUCAAGUGAUUACAGGCACUCGUGGCUGUCAGGCCCCAAAUGAGAGGAGCACUGUUCAGCACAGAGUGUAAUUUCAGGCCUUAUCUCAGAUGGUGAAAAAUACUCAUGGUUUCCAGAGGCAGUGAGGGCAAUUGCUGGAAGAAAGGCUGGAAGGAGAUGUCCUUUGUGGUGAUAGCAAAUACCAGUUCUCUGAGGUCUUGGGUAAAGCCCUGGAUUUGUCACCAACACUUCAGAAAGGUCAGGGACGUACAUGUGUGUCUGGAUUGCCCAAAAGUUGUGAGUUUGAACCCAGAAUCCAGCUGCUGUGUUAAUUUCCAGGUAUCAGAUCCAGGCACUGAACACGUCAUUGACACCGUGUGUUGAGUUUCACCUGCUGUUCCUCCAGGACUUAAGCCCUGAGAUGGAUUCUCACUUCUGGCUGUAGUUAAGUCUCCUGGAAAUGCUGUAACUCCAUGCUGAGCUUUUACCAGACUUAUGCAUAAUCUAAUUAAAGCUUCAUUUGCAGUGAGUUUUUGAAGUGGACUUAAAUUCCCUCCAGUACACUUGCUCCCACGUAAUUCAGCCCUGGCUCUGCUAUGACAGCACAUUUCAAACACAUUGUGGCUGUUAUUCAUUAUUAUGCCUUCGAUGCAGUGUUCGUCAGUUUUAACUGAAGAUUUAUUUUGAUAUAAAUUUUUUCAGAAUGAAAGCAACUGAUUGUUUCACAAAAAAAAAAAAAAAAAAAAAAAAAAAAAAAAAAAAAAAAAAAAAUCUCGCUUUCCUACUGCAAUUGGACUCUGCUUUUGUACAUGGAAAGAAAAAAACCACCAACCCUGAAUGUUUAGUUAUUCUGUAACCAGGCAUUUCAGGUCAAAGACACUGAAGGGAUCAAAUAGAUAAGCAAAAUUAAAACACCAAGGUCAGACAAAUUCUUCCCAAGAAUAGUGAAGACAAAUCCAAGGAGGAAACAGAACACAAAUCAGAUCUUAUCUCCACUUUGCUUCCUGGCCAAAGACACAGAAAGUGUCUCCAAGAAGUUAAAAGAUAUCUCCCUUUAACCAGUGCCAAUGUUGUUAGGGGAGACACAGAAUCAAAUACACCCUCACUGAAGAGGAGCGCUCCUGAGCACAUCUGUGGUUCUCUGGAAAAGGAGAGGAUUACUGAGCACAAGAGCCAACUCUAACCAGUGGGGAACUGUUUUUAUUUUCAUGUACAUCAUGCUGAGUCCUAAACAUAUCUCAGCCACCUACCUGCAUCCUGACCCUAGAUAUAUACAUCAAGCCAUGUAGAAAAUUGGGAUGAAAAGGAACCAUCUGGGCUUUUGCAGUUAUCAUCCUUAUGUUACAGCCACCUCUUCACCAUGGCCAGUGUCUCCAUCCUGCUACUCAGAGACUGUUCUGCACAGGCCAGGUGUCUUCUUUGCAUUCUCCCAAGGCCAGAGGAUCCAACACCCUUGCCAUGGGCAGGAACACCUUCCACUAGACCAGAUUGCUCCCAAGCCCUGGCGAACGUGGCCUUGAACACUUUAUUUCAAGCUGAAAAACACCAAGAACAGGACAAACAUAAGGAUACUACACCCACCAUCUGCAGUUCAGCUGGAGCUAACCAGAGCUAGCUGUGUGUCCCAAGCCCAUCAGUGAGAUGCACUCUCGCUUUGCAGUGUGCAGCUCCAUCCAUGAAUCAGGUAGUUCAAGGAAGGGGAAUCCUCCUUUCCCAAUGUGGCUGGCACAAAAAGCAGCACAUGAGUCUGCAGAGCCUCUUAGCAGACUAUUGACUUAACCAGUCAUUACCAGUACCCAUGAAACUGAGAUGGUAAAAUCUCUGUCUGGUGCUUCAAGCUUUGCAUACAAAGUUGUUUGCUCUGGUAAGAUGCUCUGACAGCAUUAGAAUGGCCAUUCAUUAAAAAAAAAAAAUACAAGGAUAAUUUCUUUAUCAGGACAUGCUUCCUGUAUGCAAUGAAGCCUGAGGCAAGCAGAGUGAACAUUAUCAUUUAUUUAACUGCAGGGUAACUUAUUACUGAGUGUCAUUCUACUCAGCGUGCUCGUUUAAUACUGAUUAUGCCAAUAACUUGAGCAAAUAAACGGGAAGUUGCUACAGUUCAUUCUUUGGAAAAAGGUCAUUCACCUCGUGCUGUAAAUGGUCCCACUAAAGAGGUGUGUUUUUUCAGGGGCUGGAGUGUACCUCACCUGUUGAACUGCCCUUCACACAUGACUCAGGAGCAGAAUGAAUCACGGCUCAUAGCAUACCCAGAGCAGGAGCACAGGGAACCUUGUAUUACCACGGUGCUCGGAGAUGUCUUCGAAUGACAGGGCUUAAAGAAGAAAUGUAGCUUCCUCCCUGCUGGGAACUGCAUGUUUCUGGUUCACCUCGGCAAAGGAUCCAACCCCAGGCAGCAGACGCUGUGCCAGACCCCCUCUGCUGUCACCUUGGCGGUCCAGGGAUUUCUGCACCCUCUCCUGGCAGCUCAGACUGACAUUCAUAGGAGGAAACAGAUGCUGAGGCAUCUCCACACUGAAGAAAUACUGUGAAGGCCUGAUCCAUCCCACGUGCAUAUAAAAUAUGAAGUUUUUCUGGAUAAUCCCAUUUUUCCUGCUGCAAGCUGAGGCAGAGCACAAGCACCUCCCAACCACCCUGGCCAGCACACAUGGGGAUGAGCACACAGCAGCAAAUGUUACCCUUCCACUGGGCUUGGAACUGGAACAGCUGGAGGAGCUGCUCUGGU